rnacentral:rRNA from 1 species
CCUACGGGAGGCAGCAGUGGGGAAUAUUGCGCAAUGGGCGAAAGCCUGACGCAGCGACGCCGCGUGAGGGAUGAAGGUCUUCGGAUCGUAAACCUCUGUUAACAGGGAAGAACGGUCACUGUGCUAAUCAGCCGUGAAUUGACGGUACCUGCAAAGGAAGCACCGGCUAACUCCGUGCCAGCAGCCGCGGUAAUACGGAGGGUGCGAGCGUUAAUCGGAAUUACUGGGCGUAAAGCGCUCGUAGGCGGUAUGUGAAGUCAAGGGUGAAAUCCCCGCGCUCAAAGUGAGAACUGCCUUUGAAACUGGCAAACUGGAGUGUGUGAGAGGAUAGUGGAAUUCCAGGUGUAGGAGUGAAAUGCGUAGAUAUCUGGAAGAACAUCAGUGGCGAAGGCGACUAUCUGGCACAUAACUGACGCUGAGGAGCGAAAGCGUGGGUAGCAAACAGGAUUAGAUACCCUGGUAGUC